UUGCUGAAUCAGAAACUCUGGGGCAGGCUGUGUCUUAAGUCCUUCAGGUUCCUCAAAGAAACUUGAUUUUUUUUUUCUCAGACACCUCAACAUUCUACUCAGAGGGCUGGGGAUGUUAGCUCAGUGUUAGGGUUCUUGCCUAGUAUACACGGGGUCCUGGGUUCAAUCCCCAUGACCAUCACCACCACUAAAAAAAAAAAAUAGUGCCAGUUGGAGGCAAAGGAGCUUUUGGUCCUGCCUACCCCCUUUAAAUUAGAAAUUAGAUAAAAACAAAACCAUUCUCAUUCUUUCACAUUCCUCUCUGGGGUGGGGGAGGGACUAAAGAAACAAUUAAAUACCCUAAUUAACUAUCUCUUUUUUCCCCCUUUAUAAGCAUAUGUAAAGCACAGUCUGGAUUUAUAAAAUAUAAAGAAAACCUGAGAACUUACCUGAUCCACAUCUCACCAGCAAAUUCUCACCUCCACCUUCCAGGUUUAAGAAUUCAGAAGGCUUUGUCCUGGGGAAAAAAAAAAGAGCAUGCUGAGAAAUAAAGGUCAAGUAUUCAGACUAGGCUGUUCCACAUCUCCAUGGAAUGAAGAAAAGUGUGAACACCCGUGGAAUUUCAAUUGGAUCUCCUUGUGCAAGGAGUUUUAUACGGAGUGAGACAGGACCAGCACGUAACUUCCUUGCACUGAAGAAUUUCAUAAUAAGAAAAUACCAUCAUAUUACACUAGGGAGGGGAAGGAAAGAGGAGGAGGAGGAAUAGAAGGAGGAAGAAGAACAAGAGGAAGAGGAAGAGGAAAAGGAGAAAGAAAGCUUUCAGGUUUUUCUACAAACAUGACAAAAAUCAACCUAACACCAUCCUCUUGAAUGAGAAUACUUUGAGAAAUUUCUUCCACUGUCUCUUCAACUCAAUUGAAUUUUACCUACAUGUAAGUAUAUAAACUUUUUUUUUGACUAAAAUUCUUAAACUUUCAUUCCAAGUUAUUAUUCAACUUUAGGAUAGUUUUUAAAGCAGACAUAUUAACAGAAAACCUGUUUGCAAAAUGGAUUACAGUUUCACAAUUCUUUCUUCCAAUUCUGAAGUCUAAAAAGCUGUAAACUACAUAUAAGAGCUAUUUUCUUUUUUUAGUAGUAAUAUCUGACCUUAAUUGACAUGAAACUUGUUAUAGACUUCAUUCGUUGCACACAAUGUGAGCAAUUUUACAUUUUGCUGCAGAAAUACUAUGACUUUGUCCCCAAGGUUAAGAAGCCCAACUACAUCCAACCAAAUGGAAAGCACCAUAAUCAUGUGAACUCCUCAGUUCUACAUUGAAAAUAUUUCUCAGGAACAAAAACAAACAAACAAACACAAAACCAAAAAGUACUGAACAGUACAGACUUUUUUCUUGUCAUUAUUCCCUAAACAGUACAGUAUAACAACUAUUUAUAUAGCAUUUACGUUUUACUACGUAUUACAAGGAAUCUAGAGAUGAUUUACAGAAUAUGGGAAGAUGUAAGUUAUACGUGAACGUUAUGCCAUUUUACAUGAGAGACUUGAGCAUCUGCAGGUUUUGGUGUUGGCAGGGAGUUCUGGAAUCAAUCCCCUAUGGACACCUAGGGGUAACUGCCUUUAGAUCCUAUUUCCAGCUGCCUUUCACCUAAUUUUCCUCUUGACUCCCUCACCUUUCCAGAAGCCCCUCAUCUUCUCUCCACUCCUGUGUGCAUGGCCUGAUGUAAGCUAGAAGCUCCUUUCACACUGCCUGUUACACAAUGCUGAUGC